UGGGGAAUAUUGCACAAUGGGCGCAAGCCUGAUGCAGCCAUGCCGCGUGUGUGAAGAAGGCCUUCGGGUUGUAAAGCACUUUCAGCGAGGAGGAAGGUGGUGAGCUUAAUACGCUCAUCAAUUGACGUUACUCGCAGAAGAAGCACCGGCUAACUCCGUGCCAGCAGCCGCGGUAAUACGGAGGGUGCAAGCGUUAAUCGGAAUUACUGGGCGUAAAGCGCACGCAGGCGGUUUGUUAAGUCAGAUGUGAAAUCCCCGGGCUCAACCUGGGAACUGCAUUUGAAACUGGCAAGCUAGAGUCUCGUAGAGGGGGGCUAGAAUUCCAGGUGUAGCGGUGAAAUGCGUAGAGAUCUGGAGGAAUACCGGUGGCGAAGGCGGCCCCCUGGACGAAGACUGACGCUCAGGUGCGAAAGCGUGGGGCAGCAAACAGGAUUAGAUACCCUGGUAGUCCACGCUGUAAACGAUGUCGAUUUUGGAGGUUGUGCCCUUGAGGCGUGGCUUCCGGAGCUAACGCGUUAAAUCGACCGCCUGGGGAGUACGGCC
rnacentral:rRNA from 1 species